rnacentral:rRNA from 1 species
UACGUAGGGUGCGAGCGUUAAUCGGAAUUACUGGGCGUAAAGCGUGCGCAGGCGGUUUUGUAAGCCAGAUGUGAAAUCCCCGGGCUCAACCUGGGAAUGGCAUUUGGGACUGCAAGGCUUGAGUGCGGCAGAGGAGACUGGAAUUCCUGGUGUAGCAGUGAAAUGCGUAGAUAUCAGGAGGAAUACGAUGGCGAAGGCAGGUCUCUGGGCUAUAACUGACGCUCAUGCACGAAAGGCGUGG